GAUGAACGCUGGCGGCGUGCUUAACACAUGCAAGUCGAACGGAAAGGCCCUGCUUUUGUGGGGUGCUCGAGUGGCGAACGGGUGAGUAACACGUGAGUAACCUGCCCUUGACUUUGGGAUAACUUCAGGAAACUGGGGCUAAUACCGGAUAGGAGCUCCUGCUGCAUGGUGGGGGUUGGAAAGUUUCGGCGGUUGGGGAUGGACUCGCGGCUUAUCAGCUUGUUGGUGGGGUAGUGGCUUACCAAGGCUUUGACGGGUAGCCGGCCUGAGAGGGUGACCGGCCCCAUUGGGACUGAGAUACGGCCCAGACUCCUACGGGAGGCAGCAGUGGGGAAUAUUGCACAAUGGGCGGAAGCCUGAUGCAGCAACGCCGCGUGCGGGAUGACGGCCUUCGGGUUGUAAACCGCUUUCGCCUGUGACGAAGCGUGAGUGACGGUAAUGGGUAAAGAAGCACCGGCUAACUACGUG
rnacentral:rRNA from 1 species